GGGUUGUGAGGUUAAGCGACUAAGCGUACACGGUGGAUGCCCUGGCAGUCAGAGGCGAUGAAGGACGUGCUAAUCUGCGAUAAGCGUCGGUGAGGUGAUAUGAACCGUUAUAACCGGCGAUUUCCGAAUGGGGAAACCCAGUGUGUUUCGACACACUAUCAUUAACUGAAUCCAUAGGUUAAUGAGGCGAACCGGGGGAACUGAAACAUCUAAGUACCCCGAGGAAAAGAAAUCAACCGAGAUUCCCCCAGUAGCGGCGAGCGAACGGGGAGGAGCCCAGAGCCUGAAUCAGUGUGUGUGUUAGUGGAAGCGUCUGGAAAGGCGCGCGAUACAGGGUGACAGCCCCGUACACAAAAAUGCACAUGCUGUGAGCUCGAUGAGUAGGGCGGGACACGUGGUAUCCUGUCUGAAUAUGGGGGGACCAUCCUCCAAGGCUAAAUACUCCUGACUGACCGAUAGUGAACCAGUACCGUGAGGGAAAGGCGAAAAGAACCCCGGCGAGGGGAGUGAAAAAGAACCUGAAACCGUGUACGUACAAGCAGUGGGAGCCUCUUUAUGGGGUGACUGCGUACCUUUUGUAUAAUGGGUCAGCGACUUAUAUUCUGUAGCAAGGUUAACCGAAUAGGGGAGCCGAAGGGAAACCGAGUUUUAACUGGGCGUUAAGUUGCAGGGUAUAGACCCGAAACCCGGUGAUCUAGCCAUGGGCAGGUUGAAGGUUGGGUAACACUAACUGGAGGACCGAACCGACUAAUGUUGAAAAAUUAGCGGAUGACUUGUGGCUGGGGGUGAAAGGCCAAUCAAACCGGGAGAUAGCUGGUUCUCCCCGAAAGCUAUUUAGGUAGCGCCUCGUGAAUUCAUCUCCGGGGGUAGAGCACUGUUUCGGCAAGGGGGUCAUCCCGACUUACCAACCCGAUGCAAACUGCGAAUACCGGAGAAUGUUAUCACGGGAGACACACGGCGGGUGCUAACGUCCGUCGUGAAGAGGGAAACAACCCAGACCGCCAGCUAAGGUCCCAAAGUCAUGGUUAAGUGGGAAACGAUGUGGGAAGGCCCAGACAGCCAGGAUGUUGGCUUAGAAGCAGCCAUCAUUUAAAGAAAGCGUAAUAGCUCACUGGUCGAGUCGGCCUGCGCGGAAGAUGUAACGGGGCUAAACCAUGCACCGAAGCUGCGGCAGCGACACUAUGUGUUGUUGGGUAGGGGAGCGUUCUGUAAGCCUGUGAAGGUGGCCUGUGAGGGUUGCUGGAGGUAUCAGAAGUGCGAAUGCUGACAUAAGUAACGAUAAAGCGGGUGAAAAGCCCGCUCGCCGGAAGACCAAGGGUUCCUGUCCAACGUUAAUCGGGGCAGGGUGAGUCGACCCCUAAGGCGAGGCCGAAAGGCGUAGUCGAUGGGAAACAGGUUAAUAUUCCUGUACUUGGUGUUACUGCGAAGGGGGGACGGAGAAGGCUAUGUUGGCCGGGCGACGGUUGUCCCGGUUUAAGCGUGUAGGCUGGUUUUCCAGGCAAAUCCGGAAAACCAAGGCUGAGGCGUGAUGACGAGGCACUACGGUGCUGAAGC
rnacentral:rRNA from 1 species